AGAGACAGCAGCCGCCGCGGUAAUACGGAGGGUGCAAGCGUUAAUCGGAAUUACUGGGCGUAAAGCGCACGCAGGCGGUCUGACAAGUCAGAUGUGAAAUCCCCGGGCUUAACCUGGGAACUGCAUUUGAAACUGUCAGGCUGGAGUCUUGUAGAGGGGGGUGGAAUUCCAGGUGUAGCGGUGAAAUGCGUAGAGAUCUGGAGGAAUACCGGUGGCGAAGGCGGCCCCCUGGACAAAGACUGACGCUCAGGUGCGAAAGCGUGGGGAGCAAACAGGAUUAGAUACCCCAGUAGUCCCUGUCUCUUAUAC
rnacentral:rRNA from 1 species